rnacentral:rRNA from 1 species
GACGAACGCUGGCGGCGUGCUUAACACAUGCAAGUCGAACGGAAAGGCCCUGCUUUUGUGGGGUGCUCGAGUGGCGAACGGGUGAGUAACACGUGAGUAACCUGCCCUUGACUUUGGGAUAACUUCAGGAAACUGGGGCUAAUACCGGAUAGGAGCUCCUGCUGCAUGGUGGGGGUUGGAAAGUUUCGGAGGUUGGGGAUGGACUCGCGGCUUAUCAGCUUGUUGGUGGGGUAGUGGCUUACCAAGGCUUUGACGGGUAGCCGGCCUGAGAGGGUGACCGGCCACAUUGGGACUGAGAUACGGCCCAGACUCCUACGGGAGGCAGCAGUGGGGAAUAUUGCACAAUGGGCGGAAGCCUUAUGCAGCAACGCCGCGUGCGGGAUGACGGCCUUCGGGUUGUAAACCGCUUUCGCCUGUGACGAAGCGUGAGUGACGGUAAUGGGUAAAGAAGCACCGGCUAACUACGUG